UACGGAGGAUCCAAGCGUUAUCUGGAAUCAUUGGGUUUAAAGGGUCCGUAGGCGGUUUAGUAAGUCAGUGGUGAAAGCCCAUCGCUCAACGGUGGAACGGCCAUUGAUACUGCUAGACUUGAAUUAUUAGGAAGUAACUAGAAUAUGUAGUGUAGCGGUGAAAUGCUUAGAGAUUACAUGGAAUACCAAUUGCGAAGGCAGGUUACUACUAAUGGAUUGACGCUGAUGGACGAAAGCGUGGGUAGCGAACAGG
rnacentral:rRNA from 1 species